AACUUUUUUCUGUUAAUAGUUUGUCUUUCCUAACUUUGAUUAUAGUUUGCUCACAUAAAAUUCCAAAAGAACUCCAAAACAUAUAGUCUUAACUAGAGUAAGGAUAAGGGUAUAGAAAACCACUUUCGUAAGGAUGGUUACCCUCCUCUCCUUAUCCUAUUAGAUAUCCAGAAACUCAACUACCCAUAUGUUGGAAGGCACACUCUACUCUAUCAGACCAAAGAUUUCAUUUUUGCCUGGCCAGAUGGAAGACAAUAACCGAUAAUAACUUUGCUAUGAAACUGGCCACUUACGCGCCUGACAAACCAAAAAAAGCUUUUAUUUGGGAGGUGCUCCAAGAAACAGUUUCUCCUCUAGAUUCUUUGAUCGCCUGCUUCACAAGAACACAAGAAGAGAUAUGUGCACCAGCAGAUUGACCCAUGAGAUAAAUCCUGGAAAAUACAGACAGCAUGACAGAGUUGAAAAUAUCAAAUCUUCGAGAACCCCAGGCCUUGUAUCUGCAUGAGUAUGUGAACUUCAGAUCAAUGUUAUAUUCAGAUAAGCACAUCAUCCAUCCAAUCCAGGAUUGAACAUGCCAUGAAUAAAGUAGAACUUAUUAAGGAUAUAUAAGUGCUAGAAUCUAUUCAGAAGGACCUGUACAUAACCAAUUUUGCAUUUAGUUCCAGUUAUUGAUCUCAUGUGUGUUAUUAUGGAGAUGUGCCUGUGAGGCUAAUAAAUCACUGUUCGGAGGUAACUCAGUCAUGCAACAUGUUUGAAUCUUUGUCAAGGCAGAAAAUCUGAGGAGACGGAAGUUCUUAUUGCUGACGUUUGUUUGUGCAACGAGAGAGGAGAAAGACCACUGUGUAUAAGCAUCUUAAUGUUGCUACUCUAAACCUCAUAUUUGAUGUUUCUGGAAGUCAUGCAGAACAUGCCCCCAUACAGUAAAGGAGCUCUUUAAUGCUUCUAUACAUUUCAUGAGUAAUGUCAGAUUUGUAAACUGAUGAAACUUAAUGAGUUCUUGAUGGGGUUGAAAUUUCAGUGUCAAAUACUCAAAACCUUUAUUUGAUUGGGUAAUAUCUGA